rnacentral:lncRNA from 1 species
CUGGAUCCUGGUCUGGAAAAGUGUGCAUUUAGCUUCUUAAACCUGAGAGUGGUUUCAUUAUGGUCACAGCUAUUUCAGUUUUGAACAUCAUGCCUGACUAUUACAGCGCUUGACAAUGUGACCUUCAAACCCAACUUGAAAAUACUAGCAUUUGAUGGCAUUUUCCAUCAAUAGGCAGAGAUGGCUUGGUAGGUGAUUCAACUGACACUGGGCCAGGAGGUGAAAGGUUCAACUAAAGGAGUUUGGCAUGUUCCAUCUAUCAACUGAAGAGCACAAUGAGAGAAGAUGGACUGAAUUUUCUCUUUAGGCCAACCUGAAUGCAAGUGUCUAGACCUUCUACACAAGGAAGCGAACACAGAGUUUGAGAAGAUUGAGUUGGCAAUAUCCUUGGAAGAAUAUCAAAUCCAGCAUCUGAUGAGCAAAGAAAUGAAAAGCCUUCUGGAAAAAAGAAAGCUGAUAUUGCUGUAGCAGUUUCUUCUCCUUCAUAUUAAGGUAACCCCAGUGUAAGAGUCUUCACUUUUAACAACGCUAUUGUUAUCUGGUACAGGAUUCAAUUAGUGGGGUGUUAUUUUCUAUUA